rnacentral:rRNA from 1 species
GUUAAAGGUACCCGUACCGCAAACCGACACAGGUGGGUGAGGAGAGUAUCCUAAGGCCAGCGAGAGAACUGUUGUUAAGGAACUCGGCAAAAUGACCCCGUAACUUAGGGAUAAGGGGUGCCACCAUUAGGUGGCCGCAGAGAAUAGGCCCAAGCGACUGUUUACCAAAAACAUAGGUUUCUGCUAAGUCGCAAGACGAUGUAUAGGAGCUGACGCCUGCCCGGUGCUGGAA